CAGCCCCGCGGUAAUACGGAGGGGGCUAGCGUUGUUCGGAAUUACUGGCGUAAAGCGCACGUAGGCGGCUUGGUAAGUUAGAGGUGAAAGCCUGGAGCUCAACUCCAGAAUUGCCUUUAAGACUGCGAGGCUUGAACGUCGGAUAGGUGAGUGGAAUUCCGAGUGUAGAGGUGAAAUUCGUAGAUAUUCGGAAGAACACCAGUGGCGAAGGCGGCUCACUGGACGACUGUUGACGCUGAGGUGCGAAAGCGUGGGGAGCAAACAGGAUUAGAUACCCGCGUAGUCCCUGUCUCUUAUACAC
rnacentral:rRNA from 1 species